rnacentral:rRNA from 1 species
GAUGAACGCUAGCGACAGGCUUAACACAUGCAAGUCGAGGGGCAGCGGGGUGUGGCAACACACUGCCGGCGACCGGCGCACGGGUGAGUAACGCGUAUGCAACUUGCCUAUCAGAGGGGGAUAACCCGGCGAAAGUCGGACUAAUACCGCAUAAAACAGGGGUUCCGCAUGGGGAUAUUUGUUAAAGAUUCAUCGCUGAUAGAUAGGCAUGCGUUCCAUUAGGCAGUUGGCGGGGUAACGGCCCACCAAACCGACGAUGGAUAGGGGUUCUGAGAGGAAGGUCCCCCACAUUGGUACUGAGACACGGACCAAACGCCUACGGGAGGCAGCAGUGAGGAAUAUUGGUCAAUGGCCGGGAGGCUGAACCAGCCAAGUCGCGUGAAGGAUGAAGGUUCUAUGGAUUGUAAACUUCUUUUGUGCGGGAAUAAAGUCGGGGAUGCGUCCCCGUUUGCAUGUACCGUACGAAUAAGCAUCGGCUAACUCCGUGCCAGCCGCCGCAGUAA